CCUACGGGAGGCAGCAGUGGGGAAUAUUGGACAAUGGGGGGAACCCUGAUCCAGCCAUGCCGCGUGUGUGAAGAAGGCCCUCGGGUUGUAAAGCACUUUCAGUGAGGAAGAACGCCUGGUGGUUAAUACCCAUCAGGAAAGACAUCACUCACAGAAGAAGAACCGGCUAACUCCGUGCCAGCAGCCGCGGUAAUACGGAGGGUGCGAGCGUUAAUCGGAAUUACUGGGCGUAAAGCGCGCGUAGGUGGCUUGAUAAGCCGGUUGUGAAAGCCCCGGGCUCAACCUGGGAACGGCAUCCGGAACUGUCAAGCUAGAGUGCAGGAGAGGAAGGUAGAAUUCCCGGUGUAGCGGUGAAAUGCGUAGAGAUCGGGAGGAAUACCAGUGGCGAAGGCGGCCUUCUGGACUGACACUGACACUGAGGUGCGAAAGCGUGGGUAGCAAACAGGAUUAGAUACCCUGGUAGUC
rnacentral:rRNA from 1 species